AGGGUCUGACAUGUCACUGAAUAGCCUCAAGGAAGUAAUAAAAGCAGCAUCAGCCAGGAGCAUGACCCACUGCAGGUGGCACCUCUUAGAAGGAGAAGACAGGAGCAAUUUGAAGAUUCGGGCCUGAAUGGAACAAGAAGACAAGGAAAGAGCGAGGAAUGCACCUGUGGCUGGCUUGCCCCUGCUGCCUUAUAUGAGGGCUCUAGGAGAUGAGGAAGGGAAAUGAGAGAGGCAGGAUGACAGUCAUUGAUAUUGUGUUAAUAAGAACCACAAUGUCCUCCUUCAAUCACGUUCCCAUUCAGUGGGAAUGAUCAUCCAAAUUCUGAGAUAAAC
rnacentral:lncRNA from 1 species